GGGAAAUGUCAUUGGUCAGUGGGAGAGCAUCUGUUUUGAAUGCAGAAGGUCCCAGGUUCAGUCCCUGGCGUCCCCG